rfam:Salmo salar isolate Sally breed double haploid chromosome ssa16, whole genome shotgun sequence.
GACACACACAAUUUGUAAGUCACUCUGGAUAAGAGCGUCUGCUAAAUUACUUAAA